rnacentral:misc_RNA from 1 species
UCUUGUCGUCCCUUGUCCUGUCUCCUGUCGGAGGCGUACGUAUGCGUGUGUGUGUAACACACUGUAAGACUCUUACGUUCGUUUGAGUCGUCUAAGGAAGGGUUGCGGCGUUUGCCUGGCCACUUCCGCGUAGUGUUUAAUAUAUUUCAAGUGCUUGGCCGAAUCCGCUCGCCGGCCGAACACAUUGCAACAUUUGGUGUCAGGAGUAGGAUCGGGCCAUUGAAUAAUUCUCGUUUGUGUAUAAUUCUUUUUUUUUUUGAGAAUUGCCCGAGGAACUUGUUAGUAAGUCGUAAUUUGUAAGUUAUUUUUCUCGAGACGAAUUUUUUUUUUUUGUGGUGACGUUUUGUAUUUGUUCUUUUCUCGUCACGUCGCCAUUUUUUUUCCCCCUUUUCUGCUCCCCUCUUUAUUUAUUCCCACGCGAAUUUAUUUUUUAAUUUUUUUUUCUCCUCCAUCCCCCUCCCCAGCUACCUUUAUUUUAAAAAAAACGCGCUGAAAACGCCCACUUCUUUCUUUCUUUGUUUUUUUUGGGCCCCCCCCCCGUUGUUGCUAACGGCGGAGAGUUGGAAUAUUUUUUUUUUUCCUCUUCUCAGCAACGUGGUGGCUUAUGUAAUACUUACUUUUACUUUUUUGUGGUCGUUUUUUUUGGGGGGUUUUGCGGUUAAUUAUUGGUACGUAGGUGUUUUUUGAGUUUUUUUUUCAGUAUUCAGCGGUGUUAUAUGCGGCGUAGAGGAAAAACUACCGUCCCGUUUCAGAUAACAACGCGUUCUGCUGCGAAAUGCUUAGUCACGCCUGUAACAGGAGAAAUACAUAGCGGUCUGACUGAUCCAGAAGCUCGAAUAGCAACACCUUCUCCACGU